GUCAGUAAGUCAAACACGAACCAUGCACAUGGGAAAUUAUCCAGCUGUCUUUCUCUGAUCACACUUUUUUCAUAGUGCAUAGUAGAAAAAUACAGGAUGAAACCGGAGACAGAUUACAAUGAUAAAAAUCCUGGGCUUUACCCAGAAUGCCACAGGUAUUUGAUAUGCACAUCGACCACCUGAGGCACAAAGAUAUAGACUUUGAUACCAAUCAUCCAUCAUAAAAACACGAGUGGAACAAGGCUGGAGUGUGUGUUCAUCUGUUUUCAGAGGCUGUCUGACACUGAUCCCUUUAUUCAGGCUCAGGCAGAGAGAAUUAAAUUAUAUUCAAAACUGCAGCGGGCAAAGUGUCCUGUUUUUAUUUUUGUUUGGGAAACUUUAUUUCAUCAGUGCUGUUGCAGAAAAACAUAUGCGACUUUCAUCAUUAACUACAACACUUUUCUACAACUGAACAUAACUUUAAAGGCAAAUCCCAUCCUCACCUCUAAUGUCAGUAUGAUGGCAACGCAGUCUUUCAAGUGAUUUAAAGCAAUAUGAUGAAAUAGGAAAAUGUCAAAGGUUUGUUAGAGGCAAUGUGGUGUUAAAACCUUUAUAAUUGGUUCUGAGAUGUUUUAUCUGAUGUAACAUUUUAGAGGGAAUAUGUGUCAGGUUGAUUUGGCAGGAGGGAUCUCUCUGGCCUGGGGCUCCAAAGUGUGCACCCCUGACAGGAGCUGCAAACAGCUCACAGACGGCAAAACAAAUGAAAGCUGUGAUGUUUUCACCCUGGUCUGAUGUAAAAGAGGGCUGCAUAUGUUCAGCACUACAUCUGCUGGCAGGAAUAUGGUUGAGUUUGGUUGGAAGUCCAGUCUGUUGUAAUGAAGUUGCAAAAGAACCUGUCUUGGCAACACAUGGUGCCGUGAAGGGAUUUUUCACAGGCUUAAUGCAGGUUUGUGAGCCAAGAUGAUGUGUGUGAACUGAGAAGCAAGUCUGAGGAAAAACUUGCAACAUGGGGGAUGACAGCUACAUCUUCAAAAUAUUGUUUUUCAAAGGAAUGAAGAUAAAUGCAUUCAUAUUUGUGAGAAAGAUGGCCCUCUGAUGCCCCCUCCACUCUGUCUUUGUCUCCCCCCCCGUCCUCAUGCACUCUCAUUUUAUCACAUACGCAACAAGCCACAUGCACUACACACACUUUUACCCACAAUUGCAUUUGCACCCACAUACACAAUCAACAGAGCGGGGUUUAUAUUUCUUUAUCUUAUAAAAACACAUGCAUAAGAGCAGCAGCGCAUAUGGUGCUCAUUUCUGCACCAGUGGCCUAAUGCUCUUAAGUUCAGCCUUUGUUCAGAGCAUCAUUGUUUUAAAGGGAGAAGACAAAGCAGGGCAGUGUCUCUGUGCUGCUGUUUCAGAGUAGAAAGUAGAACACUGCAGCCAUUGUAUUUUUUCACCUCCUAACUUCCUGCAUCCACACUGAAAUGCUGACAGACAAAAGGUUACAAGAAGCAGGUCAGCAUUUGGUGGAGGGAACCAACCCUUACACCUCACUUUUAGAGAUAUUUGUGGGGGGACUGAUGUGGAGAAUAAAGCUUCUCUCUUCUCAUUUUUUUUCAGGAAUUUGGGUUCCUUGCUCCUGUGAGGACAUUUUAAACCCAUCAUUUAGUGCAAAUUUGGAUUUAAAAACACUUUUUUUUUAAAGUGUAUCACAUGAUAUUUCAGUCAGAGUGCAGGCAUUUGACUAAAAAAAGGUCAUCUUCAAAACGUUCAAUUAUGGUUCAUUUAGAGCCUCCAAUUUUUUAAUAACCCUCUGAAAAAUAUAUUCAGUCUUUUCCCUAAAUAAAAGGGAUUUUUGCACAUCUUUCAUACUGCAGCUCUGACAGUCGUUAAUGAAACAUGUUGUUGUUCCUUUCCAAAGCAACACAGCAUGUUUGGCACCUUUUAAUUGUCCAAAUUGUGUUUCUUUCAGAAUUAAUUGCAACACUAAUCACUCAUGUGACUCCCUGAUAUUUUAUUUUGCUCAGCCUCAAGGCCAAAUUUUUAAUUUUGUCCAAUAAAUUGGUUUAGGAUGAAAUUUCUGCAAAACUGUCCCAGCAGCCUUUGUGUUCUGCUCCCUUCAGCAAAUAAAUAUGCUUAGAAGCUUAGCUAAACGAGAUAACAUGGAAAGCAUUUGUCAUUAUGCACUAACACAUUUUUACUUAUGUUGUGAAUAUAUUAUUGUGUAACGCUGUGGCUAAAAUUUACUACUACCACUAGGGGCAAAAUUUAGCCACUAAUUUCCACGUAACCUUUUUUUUACUGCAGCAAAUGGGAUGAUUUUUUGUGCAGAUGCUUAUAUUGAUGGACACUUUGGGAAUAUGACUUUUCACCAAGUCAAAAAUACGCGCUGGGCAAAUUUUCAUCAGUUGUUAACGCUCAGUAGCUAAAAACAGCUUUGACUGCUGUAAAAACAUAUUGGGUAAAUAUUUUUUUCCAGUUUUUUUAAUAUAUCUCUUAAUUAACUUCUGCUUUGAUCAAAACUAGUAAAUGUUUCAUCUAAAAACAUUUUUUUAACCCUUUGAGGGUCCAUUCAAAACAUAAUGUCACUGAUAUGAUAGAAAAUAAAUCUAAUAAAAAUCAGUCAUUUUCCUCCCAUUUUUUCCCCUAAUAUUAGCGACUUUAUGUUUUACAUGGAUCCUUAAAGGGUUAAAAUUUGGAUUCUUAAUGAAACAUUUACUAGUUUUGAAUAGAGCAGAAGUUAAUUAAGAGAUAUAUGAAAACAAAUCUCAAAAAAAUAUGAAUCCAGUAUGUUUUUACAGCAGUCAAUGUCAGUGGCUUUUUUUUAGCCACUGAGCGUUAAGAAAGGAUGUAAAUCUAAGGGUUACACAAGGGUUAAAUUAUAAUGUAUAAUUUUUUAGGCUAAAUUAUAAGGCUAUAGUGUGCCUGUGGAUAGAGCAGAACGCUUAAAUGUGACCAACUCUGAUAAUCACUCUGUCAGUCUGUUGGAUGCAUCAUACCAUUUAAUGAUACCCCUCAGUCUCUGCAAACAGUGAAGCCAAAACGCCACCUUAAUGGCUGCUGACAUGUUCGACCUGUAACAUCGUUUAGAGCAAAUGCAAAGAUGUAAAUUUGGCUGGUUGAGUCACAGGACUGGCAUUACUACACUCCAAUUAACCAAAAUAUCCAUUUAACCAGGUGGUGAGGCAGCAAAGACCCCUCAGGUCUGUAUAGUCCACAGCAGAAUAGAUUUUAGUGUUGACUUGACAAACACUAAUAACUUUGGAAAGUGUAAUGACUCCUAAGUUUAUAUUUGUCACAUUAACCCGCUUGUUCCCUUUCUAAACUUCUAAUUAGUGGAUUUAAGAUCACAGUAGAGCUUACAUUUGUAUUUGUGUGACAGAGAGCAUGAGCUAAUUCGACUUAUAUUUGAAUCUUCAUACUUUUCUUACAAUGAAGAAGUCAGGAUUUAAGACCUGUACAGCUGCCUGUCACCGGGGGAAAACUAAAAGUUUUAGCUACACUCAGAGGAGUUGUUUUACUGUCCAUGUUUGAUAGAGUGUAUGUGUCAAACCUGUGUCAGUGUGAAGUCAAACAUGAACCAAACACAAGGGAAAUAAGAUGUUUGCAACUGCAGCUGUCUGUCCUUUGUUGACAUAUUUGUCUUUGACAAUGCACAGAAGAUAGAGGAAAGAACAGGAGACAGAUCACAGUGAUAAAGGACCUGGAAUUUAUCCAAGAUGCCACAGGUAUUUGGUAUGCACAUCAACCACCUGGGGCACCAAGACAUCCUGAAUACCAAUCAUCCAUCUAACGGUAUAUAGACCUACAUGGUGAGAGAAACUGCAGUGUAUGUUUAUGUAGCUCCUGUUAGUUAUGUACAGCCUCUGAGUUUAUUUAUCACCCAG
rnacentral:lncRNA from 1 species